AAAGCUCCGAACAUUUGAGAAAUCAAUUCAUACGCCCACCAGUUGUGGCCAUUAGUACUGUUCUAUUGCCCUCUAAGCCAUCUAUUUUAAGUGAGAGGUGUUUUAGGGUAGACAAUAUUUUGUUUUUCCGUCUUCAGCAAAAAGAAAUAAAUUUUGUGGCUGUCCGACACGUAAGCAUCUAACAUACAACUGGUCAUGUGAAAAAAAUGGAUUUUCUAGAACAUUUCAUUCCGAACAACGACCGACUGAUGAAGAAAUUCUGCAGCAGGUCGUACCUCAACCUCUUCAGGAAGCUUUGUGUCUCCUACACCAUCCGAUGGUCGCGUCAUAUCUACAUUGAACACAUCACCGGACAUCGGCAGUACGACCUAGCUGCAGUCAACGCUGAACUUACAUCAUCUCGACCUACUGAACCAGAAGAGGAACCAACAUACUAAAUCACCCUUGUAAGUCUGUUCAGUGGUCCGAAACGGGGAGCUUCUAUUCUGAUUCCCCCAGUCCGAGCCGGCUGCAGUUCAGCAAGUAAGACUUCCGAUUUGCCAAGCACCGCACAGUCAGUGGUUCAGUCCCCGAUGAUCUCGCAAGAAAGCUCUUCACUACAUAAAUCUUUUCAGAAAACUUUGUGUCUAUGCCACUAUCCGUUGGUCGCGUGACAUUUAUG